AAAACUUUCAACAACGGAUCUCUUGGUUCUGGCAUCGAUGAAGAACGCAGCGAAAUGCGAUAAGUAAUGUGAAUUGCAGAAUUCAGUGAAUCAUCGAAUCUUUGAACGCACAUUGCGCCCCCUGGUAUUCCGGGAGGCAUGCCUGUUCGAGCGUCAUUA
rnacentral:rRNA from 1 species